AACUGAUUUAUGAAUGCAACCUUUUUUAGGGGUAACAAUGAUUAUCAAGGGUUUCCAGACGUUUGGAAGAACUCUUUUUAGCGACGUAGACUAUUUCCAGGUUUCGAGUAACAUUUGAUGGGGCUAGAUUCAAAUUAACAAAUAUUAACUAUACAUCCACCGAAUGAUUUUAAUGUCAUAGCACCUAUCCAAACGUACAGUACAAACAAAAAAACCAUACAAUUUGAAACAAAUGCGGCUUUAUUCAAAAAGAUUUACGCUGUGGCUUACACAUAAUUAAGUCUAUUAGGGUUUACAAAUUACAGGGAGGGGGGAGGGGAGGAAGAAGUAUCAGGUUUCAAAUGUUUCAACUUCAAACGACCGCACACUUUUUGACACAUUUAGUACGAAAAAUGGCUUAUGGAAAAUGGGAUGUGUACUUUGGAAGACAUGGUCACACAUACAGAGAAGGGAAAGGACAACGGAGAUCAGUUAGACAUCGGAAGCAUGGAUAGAGGCUAACGAAAGCUAAUCACAGUUCAUUUGAUGACAGAAAGUGAAUCUGAAUGAUUGAUUUGCUAGCAUGGCAUCAGCAAUUUGUAGUGAGGGAAAGUUUGAAGAUAAUUGAUUAUGUACUGCGAUUACCAGAAUUACUGUAAAUUUAGAAUAAGUGGUAUAGGUUUGAGGUUCAACUGACAACUUUUUUGAACGGCUAUCUAUGUAUAACUACUGAUCUGAAAAUAUGCGGUGACGGUAAUCUUUAUACCCAAAGGGUAGGCAAAUUUCAAAUGUUGUUUUUUGUUGAAAUUUAAUUUCAGAGUGUAUGAAAUUUUCUGGCAAUUGCCAAAGACAUUGCCAAUUUUCGUAGAGUAAAAGUUUGUUAGUAUUUUCAAACUGAAUAAUUGAAUGGUCUAACAAAAUUGACAUCUUCCAGAACAAAUUUAAGGAAACGGAAGGAAACUUUUGUUCGGAAAAAGAAAAGAAAAGCCGAUUGAAGACGUUCUUCUCCAAAAAAAUCAGCAAAAAAUGGAAUUGUCUAGGAAUCAAAUAGCCGUGUCCGCACUUGAUUCGACCACUCGAAUCUACUCGUGUUCUCCCCGUUUUCUCUUAUUCCUUACAUAAUUAUGGAUAUAUAUGUACAUGUUGUCAAAUAAAAAAUCAAAUUAAUAUGAAAAAGUUAUUGGUCUCAUAAAAAAACAGAGAAAUUUAUAUACGAACUGGCAAUUUAAUACAUUUUUGAAUUUUCUGAAAUCAACAGAAUGAUUAAAAUAAUAUAAUUUUGCCAAAAAAAUAGCCGUCUGACUACAAAAUAAGUGAAUUUUCCUACAUGUAAAAAUCUUUGAUGGCAUGGAUCGUACCGAGACCAGCAAACAAAGAAAACGAAAAUAAUAAAAAAUUCUCGACUUUACAGAAAAGUGUUAAAUUGAAAUUGUAUUUUUACAUUAUCUCAAAAAGCCUAAAAUUCACAAAAAUAUUGGAACACUCUUUGAAACCUUAAAGUUUUGUUUUUUUUUAAAUUUUGUUUCGCAUUUCCCUAUCCAUAAAAUAUUUUUUUUUAAUUAUGAAUUUAAAAUUGUGAAGAGCACAGUCAACGACGAUUCUAUUGACUCUGUAGAGUAUACUGCAUAUUCAAUUGCACAAAUAUGAAUGAAUAGGGGGAAUGGAUGGGUGGCCACGUAUGAAACAAAAGCUCUGUGAGCAUUUGUCCCUCCGUGAUGAGCAAUCAAGUGGUUUCUGGGAACCUGUAUUUCGGAAAGAACAAUAUGAGAAAAGAGAGGGGAACGGGUCGGAGAGCAAGUUGACGUGGAAUUAAAUUGAAAACGACACCCUCCUGUAGAGAACUCUUUUAUUCCCGAAAGCUUAAUGAGAUGGUGACAUGGAGCAAGUACAUGAGUUCAGUUGAUAGAAUAAGAGGAAGACACUGAGAGAAAGAUUCUCUUUCCCGAUGUGCCAUACAUCCGCUGAGCAAACAGUGCGCCUCCUCGAACCGUUUUGCAUUUGUCUUCUAGUCUUCAAGCGUGUUCUUUUGCAACUCAGCUGUUGUUUUCUGUUCAUUAACAGGUGACAUAUGUUCCAAUAAUAGGAAGUAUGCAUAAAGAAAUAUUAGAGAAGUUUUGCAUACCCUUUUACAGCCAAAAAUACUUCCAGCAGCUUUAAAAAUAUUUUUUUAAUAUACUAAACUAUUCAAUAGUGAAUUUUGGACGAUAUUAUGCUUGAAAAAGUGCGAUGUUUUUCUUUGGGUCCUGGAACGAAAUAAACUUUCUAGGGACCGCAUCCUCAAAAAUUGUAGAUUUUCAAGUUUGAACUUUGCAAUUUCCUCAUGUCAUUUCAUUAUUCAUUUUCCAAAAAAGUAUACGACUUUUUACCACAAGACAUUCCUUUUGAAAACUUUAAAAUUCGGUAUUUUUAAAAUAUUUUCAUAGUUUCUGAAAUUAUUUUUGACUGGAAAGGGUUUCAUGGUUUUCCUCAUUGUUCUAUUUUUAUGAAAACCGUACGGAUCGUUAAUAGUAACACAAUGACCUCUUCAUUGGAGAGAGAACAUCCUUGCACUUUCAGCAGGCAAGGCGCCAGUCUAGUUAUUUCAUUCAUAACAUUUCAAAUUGGCAUUGAAACUGACAAUUACCAGGUGGGAAGAUGACGGGGAGAAAAAAGAAUAAUACCUUCUCCGAGAGUAGGUGUCCUCAAUUAUGUCAGAAACAAACAAAAACAUUUCGGAAAAAGUGAAGGGAGAAAUGGAUGAAGAAAGGGGAGGAGGAAAGACAUGGAAACGGCGAGGGCUCCUUCCUUUUCAGGACUUUCACUUCUGAUUUAUGGAUUCAAAAGGGCCCACCCACCGAGUUGUCAUGAUUAAUGAAGGUUUACCUGCGCAAUGGCAGCUACUAAUCCCCUUCUUUUACUCUACGAAUUUGAGAGAAAUGGAAAAAGAGGAAGGAGGUGACCAAGGGAACAUGUGUACGAAUAACAAAUACUUUAUUAGUACAAACGACUUUGAGAGUUUUGAAUUUAGUUAAUUUCGAUAUAGAAACUCGGGGUUUCAAGUUAACAAAAAGGUACACAAAGAGCAGGGAGCAACUGAAAACUUGCCAGUAUUGUCAGGUUACUGUAGUUGGAGAAUGGCACUGGAUGAGACUCAAAUUCGUCGAAAACCCAUAUUUCGUGAUAAAACCUUUUAGAAAAAGAAGUAAAAAUUUUGAUGGUUAAAUAUUUCAGAGAUGAAGGCACAUCUAUGCUGAAAUCAAUCAACUUGUCCACUAGCUUCAGGAAAAACACAGAAUCUUUUUUGGUUUUAGUUCUAAAAAUGCAUUUCUGACACGUUGGGAACUUUUACAAAUACCCUUUUUCUCAUCGUUAAAUAAAUUUUUAAUUUGAAAGUUUGUAUGAUAAUAUUUGUACCUUUUGAAAAUAACAUAACUUUCAAUUGAGAAUUUUUAAGUUGCUCAAAAACUUGAGUCAAUUUUUGAGCAGCUUCUCAAAACUUCAAAUGAAAAUAAUUUUUUCUAGAAAGUACAAAAAUAUUUCUCUAUAGUUUUUCCAUAAAUGUCCGAAAAAAACUUUGGCACAACGACGAUAAACUUUUUCCAGAAAAAUAGGUUUUACUCUUUUGCUCAGAAUGUUGAGAACUCACACACUCUUUUGCAUUCGAAAAGUAAGUUGGAAUUCAUUCGUUUUUUUUUUGAAGAAAAAUCCAAUUUUAAAAGCAAAACUCUACUUUCACAAAAAUCAGUGAAAACAACAAAAAAACAUAAGGACUUCCAAGAGAGUUUAGAAAAGAAGCUUACUGUACAUGCAUAUUCGAAGAAUCGAACACGUGUAUUACAUACCAACAAACAAACACUUUUUAUAGUCACUCACACUAUUCAAGACGUUGUCGCUUCACUCACAACACACACAGUGAGACACACAAAAAUAUUCAUUGUAUUCGGGCAAUGAGGAACGGAGUACGAUUUUUAAAACUGAUUUUGAGUGGAAAAUAUUGCCAAAGUUACAGUUUCUAGCUAAUUCCUCCUUAAAGCUACAAAUUUUUCAGUGUUUCGUCGAGUUUUCGACUAAAAAUACGGUGGUUGGGGUCUCGAAACGACGAAAGCUUUGCAGCUACAGUAAUCGCAGGCAGACAUUUUGCAACUUUCCACAUUUCACGAAACCUGAAGAUUUUCUCAUAAUUUUUUAAUAAAUGUUUAUUUGUUUGCAUUUUAAAUAAUAUUUA
ensembl:lincRNA linc-156 ncRNA